rnacentral:rRNA from 1 species
AGAGUUUGAUCCUGGCUCAGGACGAACGUUGGCGGUGCGCUUAAUGCAUGAGAGUUUGAUCCUGGCUCAGGAUGAACGCUAGCGGCAGGCUUAACACAUGCAAGUCGAGGGGUAACAGGAUUUAGUUUACUAGAUUGCUGACGACCGGCGCACGGGUGAGUAACGCGUAUACAAUUUGCCUUUUACUGGAGGAUAGCCAAGAGAAAUUUUGAUUAAUACUCCAUAGUAUUAUUUGACCACCUGGUCGAAUAAUUAAAGCUCCGGCGGUAAAAGAUGAGUAUGCGUCCUAUUAGCUAGAUGGUAAGGUAACGGCUUACCAUGGCGACGAUAGGUAGGGGUCCUGAGAGGGAGAUCCCCCACACUGGUACUGAGACACGGACCAGACUCCUACGGGAGGCAGCAGUGAGGAAUAUUGGGCAAUGGAGGCAACUCUGACCCAGCCAUGCCGCGUGCAGGAAGACGGCCCUAUGGGUUGUAAACUGCUUUUAUACAGGAAGAAACUUACCCACGUGUGGGUAACUGACGGUACUGUAAGAAUAAGGACCGGCUAACUCCGUGCCAGCAGCCGCGGUAAUACGGAGGGUCCAAGCGUUAUCCGGAAUCAUUGGGUUUAAAGGGUCCGUAGGCGGGCAAUUAAGUCAGAGGUGAAAUCCCACAGCUCAACUGUGGAACUGCCUUUGAUACUGGUUGUCUUGAGUUAUAGUGAAGUAGAUAGAAUAUGUAGUGUAGCGGUGAAAUGCAUAGAUAUUACAUAGAAUACCGAUUGCGAAGGCAGUCUACUAACUGUAUACUGACGCUAAUGGACGAAAGCGUGGGGAGCGAACAGGAUUAGAUACCCUGGUAGUCCACGCCGUAAACGAUGGUCACUAGUUGUUGGGGUCUUGUACCUCAGUGAUUAAGAGAAAUUGAUAAGUGACCACCUGGGGAGUACGAUCGCAAGAUUGAAACUC